rnacentral:lncRNA from 1 species
AAACCUUCUCAAACAAAGCUCAUGAUCCUCAGUUUGGGGAAACUGAGGCUAACAAGGAUUAAGCAAACUGCUGGGAUUAAAUAGCUUAUUCAUGGCAGGGUCAGGGCUUUAAAUAAGAGCUAGUGGCCUCUGGAAUCGAGAUAUCUGCCGAUUUUAGAUUCCAGAACCCACUCUUGGCCUUACCCAUCUCACUCCUCCUCCACCAAGAAGGAAGAACAAAGGAAACCUCCCAUUUGCAAGGUUCUCAGCAUCCUGUGUCACCAUGACAACGAGCUCUAGUCAAUUUCCUCACAAGGAGGGGAAAAGCAAAAGUCAAACAAAGCUUCUGUGGAACAUUCUGUGGGCAAACACCGGGGCCAGUGUGCUUGGGCCUCUCUGUCCUCGAUCAAAUAGGGUGAAUCACUCCUGGCAUUGGAGCUGGGAGACGGGCCAGGUUCCUAAAUAGUUUGCGCCACUGCGAGCAAUUGCUAAAGAAUUCCAGUACAGCUAUCUGAAAAAGACCCAAGCACAAGAAAAGAGCAUCCUGUUCUGAAAUCUCAGAAAGGAUAAAUUGCAUCUUGCAGUGCAGAAGGACAAAAACAAUCAUUAAAGUCAAGUGGGCCUGGCAUAAGGGGGUCCGAACAGCACUGGGAAGCUUUUAGUGGUUUUGUCCCCUGGUCCCCUCUCCCAGGAAUGAAGCCCUUCCAGGUGCUUUAUAUAUCCUUAUCGAUCACCUCUAUGGAGGCCUGGGAUAAUGGAGAAAGCAAGCUGGCCUGGAGAAAACUUGCUUUUAUCAGGAUAACAAUGGAAUGGCUCUUCUGGGCUAAUUACAUCACUCAGUCCAAUUUGGGGCAAAUUUGAAGGCUUUUAGAGCAAGGAAGCAGCAACAGUUCCCAGGAGUCUUCAUGCAUAUGGUGGAGAGCAAAUAAAUAAUAACGAUGACAAU